rnacentral:rRNA from 1 species
UCGGGAAUUUUGGGCAAUGGGCGAAAGCCUGACCCAGCAACGCCGCGUGAAGGAUGAAAUCCCUCGGGAUGUAAACUUCGCAAGAACGGGAAGAAUAAGUAAGAGUUAAUAUCUCUUAUGAUGACGGUACUGUUUGUAAGCUCCGGCUAACUCCGUGCCAGCAGCCGCGGUAAUACGGGGGGAGCAAGCGUUGUUCGGAUUUACUGGGCGUAAAGGGCGCGUAGGCGGCCACCGCAAGUCAGUUGUGAAAUCUCUGGGCUUAACCCAGAAAGGUCAACUGAUACUGCGGGGCUAGAGCGCAGAAGGGGCAACUGGAAUUCUCGGUGUAGCGGUGAAAUGCGUAGAUAUCGAGAGGAACACCUGCGGCGAAGGCGGGUUGCUGGGCUGACACUGACACUGAGGCGCGAAAGCUAGGGGAGCGAACGGGAUUAGAUACCCCGGUAGUCCUAGCCUUAAACGAUGAAUGCUUGGUGUCUGGGGUUUUAUAGGUCCCCGGGUGCCGUCGCUAACGCUUUAAG